CACACAGAACUGGUUAAAUUCAACGCCUAUUGAAGUAGAUAUCGUUGAUGCCGAGAGCUAUAGGCUUGAAUCAGACCUAGCUGUGAAUCUCAGACUAAUUAUGGAUGACUGAGACAGACGCACUGUGGGAUGACCCCUUUAUUGGUGAGAAACUCAAUACCAUGAUUACCAUCAUGCAAAACUUGUUAGAGUUAAAGGUGAAGGUGAGUUCAUACUGUGUCCUAUUUUAUAUCAUAUAUCACUUGGCUAGUAGUUUAGAAGUCUAUAGUUAAAUGACUAAAGAAAAGAUAGUGCAUUUGAUCAAUAAAACCCUUUGCAGGAAAAUUGGAAAUCACUAUCGAGUCAUUGACUCAAAUGCAUGGAUUGUCAAAACUAAUGUGGGAGAUUGU